AAACUUUCAACAACGGAUCUCUUGGCUCUGGCAUCGAUGAAGAACGCAGCGAAAUGCGAUAAGUAAUGUGAAUUGCAGAAUUCAGUGAAUCAUCGAAGUCUUUGAACGCACAUUGCGCCCGCAGUAUUCUGGCGGGCAUGCCUGUUCGAGCGUCAUUA
rnacentral:rRNA from 1 species